UCCCCGAUUCUCAUACGCUACCAACCCACCCACGAUAUAGAGAGAGAGAGAGCGAGAGCGAGAGAGAGAGAGGGGAACCCUAGCAAAAGCAGAGAGCUUCCUCUGCAACCCACGGCCACGCCCACGCCGGUAGAGAGAUGAGUGAUCAGCACCCAAGAUCGUCGCCAAUGAAGGAGGAGGGAUCCACGAAGGUGUUGUAGUUUAUUCUGACGCUUUUGAUGCUUGAUGCUCUCUACAUGUGUGUGUUGAUGGGGGGUUGUGUCCAGGCCUUUGGCUAGGAUUUGGAAUUAUGAUGAAGCUACCCUUCUCAACAGUUUUGACAAUCAUAAUUUCCUGAUAAAGGAAUUUCUAAACUCUGCAUCGUGAAUGAGCUUGAUGACAGCUUGCCGCUUGUUGCCUCAUAUAAUUAUGCGUUGAUUAUUUGGAUAAUGAUUAGAUGGAGAUGUUAAUACUUAUUGGAAUGCUAGAUUUUUUAUGAAUCUAAGUUUUAGUUUCCCUAUAUUAUGUAGUUGAUGGAAAUGUUCGGAUUUGGAAAGAUUCAAUACUCAAGGAUCAACAGAAACUUGUAACUGCAUUCUCUUCAAUCCAAGGUCAUAGACCUGGUGUAAGAAAGUGUGAAUGCUGUUGUGGACUGACAACAACAAUCAGGAUAUCUGGUAAGGGUUCGCUUACAGUCUAUGUGGGUGUGCAGUGUUUGGGUUUGGGUUUGGGUUUGUUUUCAUGUUGGGUGCGAUGGUUUGAAGAUUUCUGGUUCUUCCUCUGAAUGCUCUUCAACUUUGUAACUUUUAUACUGCAACUAGUAUGCUGCUGGCAAGAUAUCAUCCAUCAUGGCUUGGGAUCUGGAUAAAGAGCAGCUUGUUUAUUCAAUUCCUUCAUUAUCGGAUUCCAGCAUGGGUUUUGCUUCUUCCCUGUAUUGGUUCUUAACAUUUUUACUCUCUUGAGGUAUAGCAGGUAUUAUAUAGUUGACAAAAUUUCAAGUCAACUUGCUUCACUUUUUCCUUUUUAGACAUACCAGCAAUAGGACCUCUGUGGGAAGCAAGAAUAUUGUUAAUUUAGAAAUUUGAAAAACAGAUUGUAUUGGAAAUGAAUGUAGAAACACAACUUUGGCAGUGUUGUGCAUAUUUAUAGUUCUAAUCAAUCAAAAUGUAUUAACUUCACUUCUCUUGGGAAAUUUUGCUUUGCAGUUUGAGCUGAUUUAGAGUUUUCUUUUUCAAUUUUUCUUUUCUUUUCUUGAUAGGUAAUUUUUCAUUCCCAUUAAACUUGAACCGGAAACCUCCCACAAACCCUCCCAAACCCUUUAACUGCAUCCUGUUUCCCAUCUCUCUGUCAAGCUAUUUUUGUUUCCUGGUUGGAACAUUGAAUUAAUGUUUAAAAUACAUUUUACAAUGUAUUGGCCCAAAUAUAAUCUUUUUCCAGUUUAAACUCCAAAAUUUUUCAGCAUUGCAUCCACUUUUGGUGGUGGGGCUGGCUGGGCCUUGAGAAAGAAUGUGAUGGAAUUCUCUUUUAUGUGAUUUUUUUUUUCUUUUUUUUCCUGAAUACUUAAGGAUGAGCACUUGCAUAAGUGGUGGACAACAGUGAUGAUGAUCUUAUGAGAUAUCUCUUUGUAUUGCUCUAGAAUUUAUUUUUUAAUCAGUUCAUAUAAUCUGUGAUACUUGAUGCUAUAAAAAGUUGGUAAUUCAGGCAUAUUAGAAAAGUACUAAUAGAAAAUGCUGACUGCUUUUAGGGCUUUCCAUCCAUCCAGGCGUUAUGGGAGCUUGAGCUGUUUUUCUAUUUUUAUAUUGACAUACAAUGAUGUGUGCCAGGAUUUAGAAUGAAUAAGUUGAUUUGUAAUUAUUUUUUGGACAUUCCUCUCAACAUUUAAUUGGCAUUAUUACUGAUUAACAAUUCCCAUUCACUGAAUCUCAGAAAUUUCAGUAAAUAUUGAGUGUUGCUAGGAAUCGUUCUCCUCUUCCAUAUCAAUACGAGUAAUGUAUAGGCUGUGAGGCAGGCUGUUCCAUUUUCUCUUGCCUUCUUUUUGGGCAGACAAUGGUCAUGGUCCAUUCAUUGGGGAACAUGUUGGAUUCCCAUGCCAAAAUUAUCCAUAGCUAAAUAUCCAAAUUAGCCCGUUUGAGAUUCUAUAAUCUUUCAUUCAAAGAUUUUUUGUUACAAUACCAUCAUCUUCCUUUGUCUUUGUAUAGUUUUAUAUGUAGCCUUUAUUUAUUGUGCCUUCCUGAAAUAUCUGCUGUUUGUUGCUUGUCCUGUAUUUUCUGUUAUUUGUCCUUGGUACCUUAGUUUAAUGGGUAUUUUUAUGUGUGCUCUUUGUAGUCUGCAUCUCAAGUUCAUGGGGUCAACUUGCAGCUGGUUUUGUGGAUGGUUCUAUCAAGCUAUUUGACAUCCGACCCCAAAAUCACGGCCACACGCUAGGACAAUAGAAAGAGUAGUGGGAAUUGGCUUUCAGCCUGGGCUGGAUCCUGCGAUCCUGCAAAGGUAAAUGGAGCACCAUGAUGGUUAGAUGCCUUUUUUCUCUUUCUUUUUGGUGAAAAUUUGGGUUUAUGAUUUUUCUGCGGCCUAUCAAAUGCUGUUACUUGAUGAUCCUCUCUUGAAAAAUCAUUAUUACAGUGAACAUUUAGGUGUGAGAUACGUAAAAUCUUACCUUCUCUUGCUUGGCUGUUUGACUGCCUUUCUCCAUAUUCUGAGUGCAUCUGAGGCUGGUGAAAUUCAGUUCCUUGAUAUGAGAAAUGGCAAUCAUGUCUACCUCACAAUUGAUGCUCAUAGGGGCUCACUUACUGCUUUGGCUGUUCAGCAACAUGCCCCACUUAUUGCCAGCGGUUCAGCAAAACAAUUCAUCAAAGUCUUUAGCCUGGAGGGUUCACAACGAUGCACCAUCAGAUUCAACCCAACCUCCAUCGCCCGGAAGAUUGGACCUGUGAGUCACCUCACAUUUCAUCCAUAUCAGGCUUCAUUUCGGAGGCGGCUGCAAAGUGCCCAUUAACUUACAUUGAGAUAUCACCAAAAUCACUGCACUUUGGUUCUCCAGGUGUCACGUUCUGCUGCCCCAAUACCUCUUCACACUCAAUGUUUCUGGAAAUGCUCUGUGCAUGCUGUGUUGAAAUUGUAUGCUAUAUAUUCAUUAGCCUCCAUUGGAUAGGAUCACUCAUGUUGGGAAGUUAUUUGGAUGCUUUGGCAAAUAAUCUCUCUCUCUCUCUAUAUAUAUAUACACAUACAUGCAUACAUAAGAAGUUAAGCCGUUCUUUCCUUAUUUUUUCUUUUUUCUUUUUCUUGGGUGUGUUUUUUCUGCUCCAUCACUUUGCUGAAUUUGUAAAAGCAGCGAAUUUUAUCAUUAUUAUAAUUUUGAGUGUUGCUGACAA